CGUGCUAAUCUGCGAUAAGCGCCGGUAAGGUGAUAUGAACCGUUAUAACCGGCGAUUUCCGAAUGGGGAAACCCAGUGUGACUCGUCACACUAUCAUUAACUGAAUCCAUAGGUUAAUGAGGCGAACCGGGGGAACUGAAACAUCUAAGUACCCCGAGGAAAAGAAAUCAACCGAGAUUCCCCCAGUAGCGGCGAGCGAACGGGGAGGAGCCCAGAGCCUGAAUCAGCAUGUGUGUUAGUGGAAGCGUCUGGAAAGGCGCGCGAUACAGGGUGACAGCCCCGUACACAAAAGCGCAUGUGCUGUGAGCUCGAUGAGUAGGGCGGGACACGUGGUAUCCUGUCUGAAUAUGGGGGGACCAUCCUCCAAGGCUAAAUACUCCUGACUGACCGAUAGUGAACCAGUACCGUGAGGGAAAGGCGAAAAGAACCCCGGCGAGGGGAGUGAAAAAGAACCUGAAACCGUGUACGUACAAGCAGUGGGAGCACAGGUUUACCUGUGUGACUGCGUACCUUUUGUAUAAUGGGUCAGCGACUUAUAUUCUGUAGCAAGGUUAACCGUAUAGGGGAGCCGGAGGGAAACCGAGUCUUAAU
rnacentral:rRNA from 1 species